UACAGAGGGUGCAAGCGUUGUUCGGAAUCAUUGGGCGUAAAGCGCACGUAGGCGGCUUCGCAAGUCAGGUGUGAAAGCCCGGGGCUCAACCCCGGAAGUGCACUUGAAACUGCGAGGCUUGAAUGUCGGAGAGGGCAGUGGAAUUCCGAGUGUAGAGGUGAAAUUCGUAGAUAUUCGGAGGAACACCAGUGGCGAAGGCGACUGCCUGGACGAACAUUGACGCUGAGGUGCGAAAGCGUGGGGAGCAAACAGG
rnacentral:rRNA from 1 species